UACGUAGGGGGCAAGCGUUAUUCGGAUUUACUGGGUGUAAAGGGAGCGCAGGCGGUGAUUUAAGUCUGAUGUGAAAACCCAAGGCUCAACCAUGGGAUUGCAUUGGAAACUGGGUCACUAGAGUGUCGGAGGGGUAAGUGGAAUUCCUAGUGUAGCGGUGAAAUGCGUAGAUAUUAGGAGGAACACCGGUGGCGAAGGCGGCUUACUGGACGACAACUGACGCUGAGGCUCGAAAGCGUGGGGAG
rnacentral:rRNA from 1 species